GUUGAAUCAACACAAUAAAAAGAAAAAAAGAAACUGAAAAGUCCGCGUCAGGAUGGGCUUUGAGUGUGGCUAAUGUUAGCGUGCUUCCACCUUGCAACUUGAAGUUUUGAAAUAUUCAUCCCCAGUGUAGUAACUUUAGUUUUUGAAGCACAAUUAUUUUUGAAUCCGACUAACUGUAAUGAUUUCAGCAGUUAAAUGAAGAAAGUAUGAUUGCUUUAUGAAAUUUACUGGCAUUGUAGGUGUUAAACUAGAUGUUAGUUGGACCAAAAGAAAAGUUUUUGUUUUAUUUGUAUCCAAAUACUGACCUUCUCCCGUCCCCUUCCUUAUUUAUCACCACCAUAUAAAAUUUUCUUAUAUGAAUGCUAUUAUAUUUUUUGAGGAAACCAAAAUUUCCCAUUCUACCCA
rnacentral:misc_RNA from 1 species